CUUCCCCCGCCUUGAUUCUUUUUUCCCCUCCUCUCCUUACCUGCUCGGCGCGUGCGGUUCCCGGUCUGCCACGAAGGGCUCUCUCAGUAAGACUGUGCACCCGCUCAUCCACGCUACACACAGUGACCGGUUGGAGGGGAGCACUGUGUUGUGUGCUCCCCUCCUGCCAGUCUCCAGGCAACUGUGGGCCCCGGCCGGUUGCACUUUGCAUCGGCCCUUAAGUGAUGUGGGUGGCCCACAGUUGCAGGGGUCAACCGUGUGGCAGGGCCCCCUGCAGUGAUGGGCCUGGUCGCAAUUGCAACCCCUGUGACCAUGGUAGUUCCACCACUGCUAACAGGCCUCUACACCUCAAAUGUAAAUUAGUAGAAAAUCCUCUAUAUUAUAGAAACUUGGAUAUUAAUAAGAGUGUUAAAUGUAGGGAAGAAAGGAUCAAAAACUUUCAAAUUGGUUGUGAAUGCAGCGCAAAUGUACAGUUUGUUAGGAUACUUUCACACAAGACUAGGUGAUUAUCUAAGUAUUGAUCCCUGAUAUUGUGAGGCAGUCAGUAAUACCCACACUGUUGGAGAUUCUGUGGACUAGAAUACCCAUUAAGCCCAGCCAGCUGUGGGGUCAAAGGUUAUUUGUGCAUUACUGAAGAAUCUUAGUAAGUGACUGAAGACCUAUAAUGCAUAAAGAAAAAAAGUGAGGAAAAU